rnacentral:sRNA from 1 species
UGCUUUCUCUCUCCAACCGCCCUGUGCCAGCCUUCCCGUCCGCUUCUUCGGAGGCGUGUUCUGGUUGAAGUCUGGCAGUUCGUCCGUCCUAUGGAGCCAUCUUCUUCUCGAUAGAUUGUUUCGGACGACAGGUCGCAGAGAAAGUCGGGGCGCAUCCAAAGCCUGAGUUCGCCGCAAGGUUUGAGCUCGGUGGAGGGGCGUCGCCAGGCUGACUGAUUUCAAGUCCCUUUUGCUAGGCCGUCGGCCAGUGAUGCUUGGGAAUAACCCAGUCCGCUACAUAC